rnacentral:rRNA from 1 species
CGCGUAGAUAACCUGUCUUCAUGUCUGGAAUAAUACGCCGAAAGGGGUACUAAUACCGGAUAUUCUUGCUUUAUAUAAGUUUUGCAAGCAAAGGUGGCCUCUGACAUAAGCUACUGCAUAAAGAGGGGUCUGCGUACCAUUAGCUUGUAGGUGGGGUAAUGGCCUACCUAGGCGACGAUGGUUAGCGGGUCUGAGAGGAUGAUCCGCCACACUGGCACUGGAACACGGGCCAGACUCCUACGGGAGGCAGCAGUGAGGAAUAUUGCGCAAUGGGGGCAACCCUGACGCAGCGACGCCGCGUGAGCGAGGAAGGCCUUCGGGUCGUAAAGCUCUGUCAAAGGGAAAGAAAUGUAUAAUGGUUAAUACCUGUUAUAUUUGACGGUACCCUUAAAGGAAGCACCGGCUAACUCCGUGCCAGCAGCCGCGGUAAUACGGAGGGUGCAAGCGUUGUUCGGAAUUACUGGGCGUAAAGGGCGCGUAGGCGGUUUGAUAAGUCAGAU